rnacentral:rRNA from 1 species
CCUACGGGAGGCAGCAGUGAGGCAUAUUGGUCAAUGGACGAGAGUCUGAACCAGCCAAGUAGCGUGAAGGAUGACUGUCCUAUGGGUUGUAAACUUCUUUUAUAUGGGAAUAAAAUGUUCCACGUGUGGGAUUUUGUAUGUACUAUAUGAAUAAGGAUCGGCUAACUCCGUGCCAGCAGACGCGGUACUACGGAGGAUCCGAGCGUUAUCCGGAUUUAUUGGGUUUAACGGGAGCGUAGGUGGAUUGUUAAGUCAGGUGUUAAAGUUUGCGGCUCAACCGUUGAAUUGAAGUUGAAACUGGCAGUCUUGAGUACAGUAGAGGUGGGCGGAAUGCGUGGGGUAGCGGUGAAAUGCUUAGAUAUCACGAAGAACUCCGAUUGCGAAGGCAGCUCACUGGACUGCAACUGACACUGAGGCUCGAAAGUGUGGGUAUCAAACAGGAUUAGAUACCCGGGUAGUC